rnacentral:rRNA from 1 species
UACGUAGGUGGCAAGCGUUGUCCGGAAUUAUUGGGCGUAAAGCGCGCGCAGGCGGUCCUUUAAGUCUGUUGUGAAAGCCCACGGCUCAACCGUGGAGGGUCAUUGGAAACUGGGGGACUUGAGUACAGAAGAGAAGAGUGGAAUUCCACGUGUAGCGGUGAAAUGCGUAGAGAUGUGGAGGAACACCAGUGGCGAAGGCGACUCUUUGGUCUGUAACUGACGCUGAGGCGCGAAAGCGUGGGGAGCAAACAGG